CACGUAGGGCGCAAGCGUUGUCCGGAAUUGUUGGGCGUAAAGAGCUCGUAGGCGGUCUGUUGCGUCCGCUGUGAAAACUCGGGGCUUAACCCCGAGCCUGCAGUGGAUACGGGCAGACUAGAGGUAGGUAGGGGAGAAUGGAAUUCCCGGUGUAGCGGUGAAAUGCGCAGAUAUCGGGAGGAACACCGGUGGCGAAGGCGGUUCUCUGGGCCUUACCUGACGCUGAGGAGCGAAAGCGUGGGGAGCGAACAGG
rnacentral:rRNA from 1 species